rnacentral:misc_RNA from 1 species
AGAAGCUGCGUGGCCGGGCACAUGCAGACCUUUCAGGGAUGCAGAGAAUACAGCCUCGGUGCUUGCCUGCUUUCCUUGCGUUGGGCCUCUCUCUCCCCUCCCCCUUCUCGCCAACACCUUGAGCUUCCACGUCUCUGCACACAUCGUUGCAGGCCGUAGCUGUGCAGCCACCAUACAGCGUGUUUUCAUGUCCUGCCCACAACACACUGUCGCUCACGUCUCUCCGGCACUGAGGCGUUGAUCAUUCCUACUUCGAAUGAACCGAUGCAGUCUGCGGCAACAGGGGGCGCGUCUCGAUACGGUGAAGCCAGUGAAGCAGGCUUUCCCAGCUGAUGUGCCGCCGGCUGCGCACUCCCCCGCGGGUGCGCCAGAUGGACACAGGACUGUCUUCUCUCAUCAUGAUGGCGAGGCGCACAAUGACACGGCACGCCGAGACGAGCAGGCUAGCUACUCAUCGCAGUCUUCUCUGCCGCCGGCUCCCUCGGCGGUCACACCCUACACAGGCAACUGGCCUCCUUAUGCUCUGCUUCUCGUCUCUUGCUUGAUCGUAGCCGCGGCGGGGCUCGGCGGAAGUGCGGCUCGUGUGGCGCUGCAGAAGUGCUUUGAGAAGAACCCCUUCUUCCCGAAGUACAACUACAUCGGGCCCAACAUUCUGGGCAGCUUCUUGAUGGGCUUCUCUGUGACCGUCCUCCCACCCGAGGCCGCGCUGCCCUUGACCUACCGCGCCCUCUGCGUCGGCUUCUGCGGCAGCUUUACGACGUUCAGCUCGUGGAUUGUCAAGGUGAUGGUUCAGAACACCGUCGCAGAUGCCUUUGAGCACCUGCUCAUUGGCGGCACAAUGCCCCUUGUUUUCUUCCUCUGGGGCCGUGACUGCGGGCGUGGCGUGCGGUGGUGCUGUGCGCAUGUCGUUGGCUCUCCGUGGGAGACAUGGCCAUUGCACCGCUCGCUGCUUCGUGCCGUUGAUGCCGUCGUGCUUGUCCUUGUGGUUCUUGCAUCGAUCCUAUCGCCGGUUCUUGUGCUGGUGUACAUCAGCGAGGGCGGCAUCCGUGUCAUCUCCGCCGACGACGUUCGCGUGGUGGCGCUCGCCCCUGCCGGCGCGGUCACCCGCUUUGUGCUCUCGGUCUGCCUAAACAAGAGGGCCUGCGCCGCUCAGUUCCCACUGGGCACGCUAGCAGCCAACCUUCUAGGUGUGCUGCUCGCUGUCGUCAUGUGCAACAUGGAGGUCAACCACCUCUCCUGCGAGUGGUGCAUCGUUGUCCGGAAUGGCAUCGGCGGGGCGCUCUCCACCGUCUCCUCCGUCGCGAACGAGCUGGUUAGUUUCUACGGCAGCGGGCGAAUGCCGCUAGCGUACGUCUACGCGCUGGUGUCAGUUGGUUUCAGCGUCUUCAUUGCCGGCGUUGGACGACCUCAACUUCACCGCCGCGGCGUGAGCUGAGCAUCUCCGGCUAGUGCUUCAAAGGGAAGAGCGCGAUGCAGCGGCAGUGACGAGGCGCAGUGCAUCCCGUAGGCCGCGCUCCUUUCUUGGUUUCCUGCCACCGCCUUCCGCUUCACACUGCCCCCCCCUUUUAUAUGUGGACUUCUAUGUGUUGUGCUGUGUGCGUGCUGACGUGUGUGAGCGCCCUGCCAUCUGCUUAUACGGUUGUGCGCCGUAUCACAGAUACAAAACAAUGGUGCGCAGU